UCAUGCCCGAUGUUACGUACUUGCUCUUAUAAUUGUAUGUUGUGCACAAUAUCUUACAAGUCGAAUAUUAAGGAAGUGGUAUAGAAAACCACUCGUGGAAUUUAAUGUCUAAUGUUCUUCAAAAGCUUAUAAUCAUCGGCAAAUAGCAAAAGAAUCACAUUCCAUGGCCUACUCGGCGAAGAACUUCAUUGUUGACAAAAGGAGAGAAGCUGUUCUCCCAGCUGAAGAGCCUCUUAUGCAAACUCAAAGCCCUGAUGACAACUCCUUGGUUUGCCUUCGGGCUUAUUGCUCGCGUUCAUCGCCCUCACUCGUCUAGUGGCCCUUAGGCCUUCAUCAAACUUGCCUUCCCCCGGGUUCAUUAAGAAUGCUGAUUCUCAAUUUAAAUCAGCACUAUCCGUCCUCUUUCCACAUGAAAAGUCGUCCCCCGGCAGCAUGUUCCGGUUGAGUCGUUGAUCAGGUGGGACUUCUUCAAGGGGGAGUGGGUGGAAGAUGAAUACUACCCGAUGGAUGAGCCAGGGUCGUGCCUGAUAGUCGAUGACAGCUUUCAAUUGUAUGUUAAAUGGGAGGCCCGAUAGAGAUUACCAGAAGUUCAGGUGGAAAGCAAAAGGGUCGCGAUCUCCCAAGGUUGUGUAAAUAUUCCUCUCUUUGCAAUAUUAUGACUGUUCGUUAGAAUUCUUCACAUGUCCUUUCUUGGUCGAAGAACGGGAAGUGCCCAGCGUAAAUGGAAGCACAAAGCAAACCUUCUUCGUGUGGGUAACUUCUUCGAGAAGUAUAAGGAUGCGGACAUCAUUAUAUUUAACACUGGACACUGGUGGAAUCACUAGAAGACACUGGCGCGUAUGCUCAUUGUAUAAUCCUAACCCUCAGUCGGUUAAACCAGUGCGAUGCCUCCAUCUGAUUAACGGCGACGGAAUACUAAACCUGCAGGAUAAUUCAAGAAAGGAACCAUGUCUAUGCAGAACUCAAUGUGCCCGAGUCGUUUCACAAGGCUCUAAUCACAUGGGCGAAAUGGGUCGACUCCAAUGUAAACCCGAACACGUCCUUGAUAUUCUUCAGAGGUUACUCUGCCACCCAUUUUAGGAUCUUGCCUUCUUCUCCAGGGAUGGUAAGCCGAACUACAGGGACCACUCCAACAAGGAGACAACUCCGAACAACAACGGGACGAUCCUGACCCAAUACGUCCCCAAGAUGGAAGUCCUCGAGACGGUCAUCAGAGGCUUGAGAAUUCCGACCAUAUACCUUAACAUCGCCAAGAUGACGAGGAAUCGAAAGGACGGUCACUCUUCGAUGUACAGGAAGCAGCUCAAUUUUUCAGACGACUUGGAAAUCAGGAGGUCCCUGAGGGCCUAGGACUAAAGCCACUGGUGCCUCCCGGGCAUUCCCGAUUCCGGGGACGAGAUUCUGUACACCGAGCUCCUUGUAAAACAUCCCAAUCUUCUAAGUAAGGUGGAAUGUGCAGAACCAGCUCAGAUCCCAUGGGAUUUUGUAUCUAAAGUAGGAUAUAGAACAGUUAGAUAUCAUCGUAUUGUAAGUCAUAAACAAUAAUUUUGUCUUUCUUUGCCUUACUAUACAUUGGAAGUCCAAUUUGCUACA